UACGUAGGGGGCAAGCGUUGUCCGGAAUCAUUGGGCGUAAAGCGCGCGUAGGCGGCCCGGUAAGUCCGCUGUAAAAGUCCAGGGCUCAACCCUGGAAAGCCGGUGGAUACUGUCGGGCUAGAGUCCGGAAGAGGCGAGUGGAAUUCCUGGUGUAGCGGUGGAAUGCGCAGAUAUCAGGAGGAACACCUGCGGCGAAGGCGGGUUGCUGGGCUGAUACUGACGCUGAGGCGCGAAAGCUAGGGGAGCGAACGGG
rnacentral:rRNA from 1 species